AACUGGCCUUCUUAAGCAAAAGUUUCAACAUUUAGAAUACUAAAUAUUAAUAAAAUUUCUAUUUAGCCUAAAGAAGAAAAAACAAAUAAACAUAAAUAUUACAAUUUGUAAAAUUAUAAAUAAAAUCUUCACCAACAAUCAGUGUGUGACCUUUGGUUUAUUAAGUCAUAAGACAGAGAGAGUAGUUGUUUUAUUUUAUUUUUCUUCCACUGUCAGGUUCCAUUGGGUGCUAACAGAUGCGCAUAUUUUCCUUUUGAAGAACUGUGUGACAAACCACUUGGUGCUGCGGACUAUUUUGGAUUGUUCAGCAAAUGGAUCCCAGCGUAAAGAUGUCAGGCAAAUGAACUGAGAGCUUCUUUAGCAAAGUUCAUGCAUUGAUGUGUAGUUGAUCAUGGUUCUCUCCAUCAACUUUCUCUUCAACAACAUUAUGAGUUCGAUUGCCAUGGGAAAAAUGGGCUUCAUUGGUGUCGGUGUGAUGAAGAAUAAACCUUGAAACCACAACGAUGAGUGCAAAUACUAUAGGAAGGAAUGAAAAUUUGAUGGGGUCAUUUUUUGCAUAAAACUGUAGAAAAAUAAAAUGGACAAAAGAGGUUAUUGUCUGAACUAGGGCAAAAGCAACAUUAAUCCAUAGAAAUCUACAAUUCAUCCAUCUUCUGGAACUUAGUGCUUUUUGUAUCAUCUCAAGUAGUGCCAGGAUUAGUCCUAGGAGUGAAAAUACUGUGGCAAGAAGAGUCAUGACAUAUAGUCUUCGAUCAUUUGUCGCCUUUGGAUGUUAUUCUUUUGCUUUUGUCCUCGUUCAGACAAUAACCUCUUUAGUCCAUUUUAUUUUUCUACAGUUUUAUGCAAAAAAUGACCCCAUCAAAUUUUCAUUCCUUUUCAUAGUAUUUGCACUCAUCGUUGUGGUUUCAAGGUUUAUUCCUCUUCAACCUGCAAACUUAAAUGAUACUGUAAAUGUCAGAUUUAAAGUGAAGGCAACCUGCAAACAGCUAUCAUUUAAAAUUUAAAUAUUGAUAAUAGUGCACAAGUAUUGAAUUUAAA